AGCCUUUCUAGUUUGAUACGACUCUCUUGAUGAAGCCUUCAAUCAUGAAAACGUUGAUAGCCAUGGCGUUUUUGUUCGUUGUAACCGUCGCGACAAAAGAGGAAGAAUAUUUUCAAGAUCCACAAGAAAGUGUUGCAAAACGUGGUUCUUCGAGCAAGGACAUCUUGAGUACCAUUAGUUGUCGAUACUUGAAAACCAAGGGUUUCUUGACCACAAGCACAAAGUUGAGAAAGCUUUGCCUCACGACUUUCCAUUGCAACGACGUCCUUUCAAAGCAAAGCUGCAAAAUCAUCAAAGGAAGAAAUGAAUGUAAAAAAGAUCAAAA